AUCGGAGUCUGCAACCCGACUCCGUGAAGCUGGAUUCGCUAGUAAUCGCGCAUCAGCCAUGGCGCGGUGAAUACGUUCCCGGGCCUUGUACACACCGCCCGUCAAGCCAUGGAAGCCGGGGGCGCUUGAAGUGCGUUGCCGCAAGGCGCGCCCUAGAGCGAAACCGGUGACUGGGGCUAAGUCGUAACAAGGUACC
rnacentral:rRNA from 1 species